rnacentral:RNase_P_RNA from 1 species
UAAGGGUGAAAAGGCGAGGUAAGAGCUCACCGCUCCGAUGGUAACAUCGGGGGCACGACAAACCCCACCUGGAGCAAGACCAUGUAUGGGAGUUCACGAAGUUGCUCGCUUCGUCGUGUCCCUUCCAACACUCUAAAAGUCGGAAGGGACACGAGACUCUCGGGUAGGUCGCUUGAGUCCAUCGGCAACGAUGGACCCAGAUAAAUGGCUGCCUCUUCCGCUUUCGCGGAACAGACAGAAUUCGGCUUACAGACCUGCAGUGCCU